rnacentral:lncRNA from 1 species
UUUCUAUCGAACUGAACUAUCAGUUACUUUACUUUGUAAGAAAUACAUUCUUGAGUGUUUGUCAUAACAUAAUCUAAUGAAAUAAAUCAACAUGAAUUUGAAAGUGGAAAUUCAAUUGAAAAUCAUUUUGGUUUAAUAAAUGUUGAGGAUUACUUUAUCAUUCAAAUCAGGGACCAGUAAAUUAAAAGUGCAUCAAGAAAGAAGUCAGAUAUUUCUAUAAACUUUUAACAUGGCAUUUGUCUUGCUGUAGAUAUAAAACACUUCUUCUUUCUUGUCUGUUUAUGAGUAGGAGUCACCAUAACAGGGUGAGCAGUAGAAAUGUUUUCAGUCUUGCCUUUGAUGGUCCCACUCAGCACCAGCUGAAAACACCCUUAUAAUAUUUUAACAUUUUCCCUUCCUCUAUUAAAUAAUGUGUCAUUCUGGGUUGUCUGUCAUCUGAGCCAGUGACUCAGUUCUGUCUAAGAAUAUGUCUGCGACUUUGAUGAUUGCAAAAUUCAGGAAGUUUUCCCCUUAGAAAAGCCCAGCUUUUAUCCCUAGAGCACAGGAGCGUAGAGAGAAGACUUAGAGCCAGAUUGUGAUAACCACAGGGAGUUGGUAAGCCCUUUACCUUUUAUGUUUUUUAACUACGGGAAAAUAUCUCCUUGUAACUGCUUUGUAGUCUGCUAUACUUUUUAUUAUUGUUGUAUUUCUUUUAGCUCCUUAAUUUUUAAUUUUAGUUUUUUUCAAAUGCAGGAGGAGAAUUUGAGGAUUUUUCUGAACAGUUUACAUUCCUAAGGAGGGAGACAGUCUUUUGCCUUCAAAUGAGCUCUGUGAAAUCCCUUUUAGUGUUGUAAAACAUACCUCCUUAGUCUCAGAUGGUACCUUUGCCUUAAAACUCAGACUUGAGGAUGAAGUGGAGAGUGAAGAACUUAAACCUCUGCUGCUUGCAGUCUCUGGAUGUCUGCCGAGCAGUAAGCAUCAACUCACAGACAGGGUCUACUUGUGAAAGUUACAGCUACUUGGAAGCCCUCAACAGAGAAAUUUGGAAAAUGACCAUUACAAAGUUACAAAUUCCCUAUAAGUCAGUGGGCUGGAACUACAAAGACAUUUACUUGAGAAACUGACAAGAGCUGAAAAUCACCAGGAAUAUGCCUGGCUGAAAAAGGUAAAUGAACAAAAACAAAAACAGGAGAAAAAAAGUACACUUGGAGCAACAAUUUAAUGCUUAUAAAUAUUUUCAACCAAAGAACAGUAUUUAGCUUGUGAAAGAAGGAAUGCUGUAAUCCUGAAUAAUUACUCCCACCUGGAGUUACUAAUAAGCAAAAUAUAGUAGAGCAUUUUCUGACCAUGGUGUUCCCAAAUAAAAAUUCUGUAACUGAAUAACAUACUUAAACAGCUUGCUAAUUUUAAUGCCUAGCUAUUCAUUAGAGAUAGAAGACUUCAGUUCCAGCAAAGUAGACAUUGUAAGAGAUGGUAUUAUUUAACUAUUUCCCUCAGAAUCCAAGGAUGCCCUAUAGAUAGAGAAAUGCAUGAAUACCCCCAAAUCAAGACAGAAGGCACCCUAAUAAUUUGAAUUUUUUACACUAGUAAAAAAUUUCAGAAAAAAGCAAAUUUGUAUCAGAAUAUACUUUCAAGUAAACUUUACGUUGGAAAUAAACAGCAGUUAUACCUUUUUAUUAAGAAAUAAAAUAAACUAAAAACCAUAUUUAAG